CCCGGCGCGACGCAGAGACGUGCGGCUCUAGGAACGCGCUUGAAACUGGGUGUCUUUCACUGCUGUUCCACUGUUACCCCUKUAAAGGCACAAGGCAAGGACUCACAGUCACGUGUGAGGCCAGAGAUCGGCUGAGAUAAGAAGAGGAGCUCCAGUCAGCACCUAUCAUUUAUUAACUGACGGAUAUGCAGGGGCUGAACUUUUUGGCAAAACUGCGUCUUGUAUAAUUCUUUUCAGCUUUUUUUAUAAAGAUACAGAAGGAGCUGCUGAAUAGAGAUA
rnacentral:lncRNA from 1 species